AGUAGCAGUGAGAUCAGCAGGGUCCCUGCUCAGCCAGCAGUCCUCUCCUGUGAAGUCAGGUGCUCACGUUGCUCCCUGGAACAACAGGUUGCUGUCAGCAACUCCCCUUGCACCUGUUCUCUAUGAUCUGGAGCACCACUGUUGCCUGGAUUUCUGAAUACAAGCUGUGCAAAAGUCAUUGAAACCAUCAGGUCCUGCAAUAAACUCAUGUAACAAACUUGCCUGAAUAAUACAUGUUUGAAUCAUCUGCAGAUUAAUAUUUAACCUUCAAAAAAAGUGUAUUUGUUUCCAAUAAGAUAGUAGCUUAACAGCUACCUUGACGCAGGAGAAGAGUAGGUAUAAACAGGAGUGUUAUUACCUCGAGAGAAAAAGUGACUUGUAAACCGAUUUAAAAAACAAAAAUAAGUCAAUUUUCUCUUUCCUUUUGAGAAAGAAAAGCAACCUUUAAAUUGGACAACUUAAUCAGCAGUGUUUCUGGAUGAUCCUUUGUUCUGUGUUACUCUUUGAGAGAAGCAAGCAGUUCAGGAGUUGACCUAUAAUUUUAAUUGCUUCUGGCUUCUGCAGAUGUGAAAAGUAAACACCUGACACUGAGGACACUACUGGUGGCUCUGCUGCUCUUUGCCAGUGCUGCACUCACUCUUAAUGAUGAGAUAAAGAAUUAAUAUUAAUAUCCCAUAAUAAGUAAUUUAUGGCAAUUAAAAAAGACAUGACUGAAAUUCUUCCAUCUCAGCCAAAUGGAUUGAUGAAUUUUAAUGGAGAACGUUUAUUCCAACCUUUAAUUAAGUUUGGCAGUCUAAAAUCAUUAUUUUUUGUUUUGAAACUACGCACUCUAUCAUGAACACUUAAAGCUUUACAACUCAAUCUCGCUACAGGGUGGAUGUGUGUGUGAUAAUGCAGCUUUCUAGGAGCUGUCUUUGUGCAUUUUAAAUUACCUUUCCUUUGUUCAUGACAUAACACAAAACAUUUAAGGAUUUACCCCAGCAGAGGAUGGAGCAAACCUCCGUGUGACACUGCUUCAGCUAAAAGCAGUGUUUUAAUCUUAAGAGGUCAUCAUAAAUGUUGAUAGGCAAGUAAUUUAAUCUACUUUCUUCAGCCCAUGUAAAUCUUAAUACAGAGCUACUGCUUUAAACUAAAAAAUAAACGAAACUGCAUUAUCUGGUGUUAUUAAGCUAAAUUACGCAGUGAAUGCUACUACAGAUUUCCUUGUGAACAUACUUGCAAUAGUUUAGCCUUUGGGGUGGAAAUUAUUUCAUUUUAAUAUGCUUUCUGGAGCACUGCCAGAGUUACAGGCAGUAUUGUAUAUGAGGGAAGAGGAAUUCUAGAAGAAUGAUAGUGUGUACCUUGAGAUCCUGAAUUCUUUUAUUU